rnacentral:lncRNA from 1 species
UUAGAGUAAACACAGAUCUAGAACAGAUCUAAAAGAAUCAGGAGAACCUCGUAGGUUAGGGUUUCAAAAGAACCAAAGAGGGUGAGAAAGGCUUGGAAAAUCAUUGAUCAAAACAGCAGAAGCCAAGAGGCAGGCUUGAGUAGCCUUGGCUGGCUGGAGUAAGGUCAAAGAUGACCGAAAAUAGCCAUAGAACUGAAAGCAUCCGAGGUCUGUACCAAGCUUCUUCAAGGUCUGGCCUUGAAAGCAUAAUAAUCGGGCAUGUAGGAGUCGUAAGAGGUAGAUACAGGCCUUUAAUGGCUUUGGAAACCAUGGAUUUGGACGGUUUCAUGAUGGUGGUUGAAGGUGGUGGCUAGGGGUUCUGAGAGAGAAUUAGGAGAUGGG